rnacentral:rRNA from 1 species
AUGUACGCUGGCGGCGUGCUUAACCCAUGCAAGUCGAACGAAGCACUUUAUUUGAUUUCCUUCGGGACUGAUUAUUUUGUGACUGAGUGGCGGACGGGUGAGUAACGCGUGGGUAACCUGCCUUGUACAGGGGGAUAACAGUUGGAAACGGCUGCUAAUACCGCAUAAGCGCACAGCAUCGCAUGAUGCAGUGUGAAAAACUCCGGUGGUAUAAGAUGGACCCGCGUUGGAUUAGCUAGUUGGUGAGGUAACGGCCCACCAAGGCGACGAUCCAUAGCCGACCUGAGAGGGUGACCGGCCACAUUGGGACUGAGACACGGCCCAAACUCCUACGGGAGGCAGCAGUGGGGAAUAUUGCACAAUGGGCGAAAGCCUGAUGCAGCGACGCCGCGUGAGCGAAGAAGUACUUCGGUAUGUAAAGCUCUAUCAGCAGGGAAGAUAAUGACGGUACCUGACGAAGAAGCACCGGCUAAAUACGUG